CUAUGAGGUCUACCAUUCGUGAUGUACACAAUUUCGCUGAUGGUGGUAUUGUAACAUCUCUUAUCAAUAUGCUCCUAACGGGUGGAAGUCUUGGUGGUGGAUCAAGACAGGAGCCCCAGUUAACUGCCCACGAACAAUUUGAUGUGUACUCAAAACCCUUUUCUCUGUGAAUCUAACUGGCCUAUGAUAGCUUCAUCCAACUGCUUGUAAUCUGUUUCAAAGCAAUGCUCCUUGGAUUUUGUUCAACUCUUAUUGAGAAAAGGCAUUCUCUUAAUUUACUGCAGAUUCUUUUCUUUUUUGUUUCUCCAUGUACAGAAUUUUCUUUCUCAUAUAUGGGACAUAAGAUUUAGGAACAUGUAUAUAGGAACAUGAGUUUUACAAACUGUUAUUCUUAGAGCAUUAAUAUCAAAUAGUUGAAUUUUAUAAA